ACAUAGAAUAUAUGAAACAAAUGAAUAAAUAAUACUUUCAAUCUCAACUCGUGGAGACUAUUUUCAGGUGUGGAGGGGGAAUGUAGCUAGAUGUGGGCAUUGUUGAUAAAAGGGGGAGGAGAGUGCAUUAACAAAUUUGGAAAUAGAGCAACUGGUAAGAAAGUUAGGAAAAUAAACUACAAUACAGUGAAGAAAAUAAGGUAAAAGAUCAUAUAAUGAGCGAGGAAAAGGAAGGUGAGGGAAGAAAUUUGAGCCAACCACAGAAUAAAUAAAGGAAGAGAGGGUGGCUGUUGGAUGGAGAAGAUUGUAAUGAGUAAUAUAAUUGGAAACUAGUGAGAGAAAACUUGUAUUUAGAGUUAAGAAAGUUUAAAGUAACAGAUUAGAUUUGCGGAACUGUGAUGGAGAGGCUGUUGAAUGCAUGGGAUUGAAUUGUUUCUAAUGCUUUGCGGAGGAGUGGGGAGUUUAUGGAGAUAUUAGGAGUGAUAAUUUUAGCCAUCUCUAUCAUCCUCUUAUUUGCCAUGCCUACAUCCUUUCAUCUAAUCAAUCUAGAAUUAAAUACUAUAAAAUCCACUGUGCUUGCAGCUGGUUAUAUCACUGUAAAAUUCAUAUUUCUUAAUUGUGAAGUAUUGUAAGAGAGAUGGAUAGCCAGAAGAUAAGAUAGCCUUCUGGCUAUCUACCUCCCUUACAAUAUCUAUUUUUCAUCAAUUGUCAAAAUCUAUUAUCCAAUCUUAAAAUUUUCUUCUCAAUCCAUCACAUAUUUUGGCCCCCUCAUUCCAAAAAUUAAAUAUCUUGUCAAAAUUCAAUAUAAAUCUUUCAGUCUCUUCCCGUCCAUCUCUUUGCCAUAUCCUUGUUAAUGAUAGAAACACUACAGAUAAUUUCAAAUGCUAUGCUAUUUAUUCAAUAUCAUUUAAACUAUAACAAAACGCUAUCAGUUAUGUUGGUGCUACUGUUUAGAAGAUUAGGCAUUCACAUUUCUGAGCAUCUGUCUAACAUUCAGAAAAUAAAAACUUAUAAGUUUUCUUGAAUUCUAGCACAAUUGAGCAGACCUGAUAAUUACAUAAAUAGAGUUUUUAUUAGGCUCUUUGAAGCGCUUUCGUCUUUACAGUCAUCUUCAGCACAAACUGAUGUAACGUUCUAGAACAAGAAUUACAAAAGAUUUUUAGUAACAUGUUUCCGAAUAUACAAACGAUAUAGAUUUAAAAUUCAAAUAGUUCAUGUGCUCAUAUUUUACUGGGCAUACAGCAGCAACAUGUAAGAUUAUAUUAAACAAAAACUGGAAAUAAAUAAAAAUAAAAAUUAGAAACUAGAAUAAGCGAUUCCUUGCUUUUAGAGUCGGUAAAAGCUUAAUAUAGUCAUUAAUAUCACUGUUUUAUGUGUGUCGCCAACAUAUUCAAGCAGUAUCACUAAUGUUCAAGUUACUCAUUUAUAACUUUCCACCUUCUAUCUCAAUCUCUUAUGUUCAUGGGGCUAUUCCUCCUUAUCAAAAAUUUCCAGGGGUUCGGUAAGAUGUCCACUUGCCUGUCGUUUAGGACUCUAGCAUUACUCCUACCUUUAAAGAUUUCUAAAUUCUCAGCUGUUGUUAGCUCCUCCGGGUUGUCCACUUGUUUUGCUACUCUUGCUUGGUCCUACUUCAUUUUUACUAUUUGCUUGAUCCCAUUAUUUAGAAUACUGAAAAGAACAGUUUUAGGAGAGUAACUUUUUUAAAAACUAUAAUUGCUCCUUAUUAUACUGCAAUGGCAUUAAAUUGACUAAAUAAAAAACUCAGCGCUCAUUGCAGUGGGAAUCCA
rnacentral:lncRNA from 1 species